rnacentral:rRNA from 1 species
UACGUAGGGUGCGAGCGUUGUCCGGAAUUAUUGGGCGUAAAGGGCUCGUAGGCGGUUUGUCGCGUCGGGAGUGAAAACACACAGCUUAACUGUGUGCUUGCUUCCGAUACGGGCAGACUAGAGGUAUGCAGGGGAGAACGGAAUUCCUGGUGUAGCGGUGAAAUGCGCAGAUAUCAGGAAGAACACCUAUGGCGAAGGCAGCACUCUGGGACGGUACUGACGCUGAGACGCGAAAGCGUGGGGAGCGAACAGG